CCUACGGGAGGCAGCAGUAAGGAAUAUUGGUCAAUGGACGCAAGUCUGAACCAGCCAUGCCGCGUGGAGGAUGAAGGUCCUCUGGAUUGUAAACUUCUUUUAUCUGGGAAGAAAUGGUUGCUUUCUAGCGAUCUUGACGGUACCAGAUGAAUAAGCACCGGCUAACUCUGUGCCAGCAGCCGCGGUAAU
rnacentral:rRNA from 1 species